ACUGGAUCGGUUCCGACUGAGUUGGUUCGGUUCAGUCUGGGUUGGAGUGGGUCAGGUCCAACUGGGUUGGUUCCGACUGGGUUGGGUUGGUUCAGGCUGGGUUGGAGUGGGUUGGUUCUGACUGAGUUGGUUCUGACUUGUUCCGUCCCAGGUUCUGCCUUGGGUUGGUUCAGUUCAGCCUGGUUUGGAGUGGGUCAGGUCCAACUGGGUUGGUUCCGACUGGUUCUGUCCCAGGUUCAGCCUGGUUUGGACUUGGUUGGUUCUGCUUGGGUUGGGUUGGUUCUGUCUGGGUUGGACUGGGUCGGGUCUGACUGGGUUGGUUCUGCCUGGGUUGGACUGGGUUGGUUCAGUCUGGGUUGGAGUGGGUCGGUUUGGUUCGGUCUGGGUUGGUUCUGCCUGGGUCCGUUCAGUCUGGGUUGGAUUGGUUUGGGUUGGUUCUGCCUGGCUUGGAGUGGUUCGGUUCGGUUCAGGCUGGGUUGGACUGGGUCGGUUCUGUUGCACUGCGUUGGAGCGGUUCUCUCCUGCUUGGGUUGGACCAGGUCGGUUCGGUUCAGGCCGGGUUGGUUCGGUUCUGUCUGGGUUGGCCUGGUUCAAUUCAGUUCCGUUUGGGUUGGAGUGGCUCGGUUCGGUUCGGUUCAGGCUGGGUUGGACUGGGUCGGUUCUGUUGGACUGGGAUGGAGCGGGUUGGUUGGUUCGGUUCGGUCUGGGUUGGUUCUGCCUGGGUCGGUUCCGUUUGGCCUGGUUGGUUCCGCCUGGGUUGGACUGGGUCGGUUCGGUUCGGUCUGGGUUGGUUCCGCCUGGGUUGGACUGGGUCGGUUCGGUUCGGUCGGGGUCGGUUCUGUCGGACUGGGUUGGAGUGGUUCGGUUCUGUUCAGGCUGGGUUGGAUUGGGCCGGAUCAGCUCGGCCUGGACUGGAGCGGUUCGGUUCGGUUGGGCUCGGUCCGAUUUGGAGCGGUGCAGCCCGGUGGGGUCUGGCCUGGUUGGGUUCGGCCCGGUUCGAUUUGUCCUGGUUCAGUCGGACCCAGUUCGGUUCGGUUCUGCUUGGCUGGGCCGGGUUCGGCCUGCUGUGAUUCAGUCCAGUUCAGUUCGGCCCGGUUCAGCUCGGUUCGGCCCGGUUCGGCCCGGUGGGCUCGGCCCACCUCGGCCUGGUUCAGCCCAAUGGAGUUUGGCCCAGUCCGGCCCGGUUCGGCCCGGUCGGAGUCGGUUCGGCCCGCGCGGUUCCGUCCGCCACCCCCGUCCCGCUCCGACCCCAAAGUCGUCCGUGGGCGGGGCCUCGGCGGGGGGCGGCGGCCGGGGGGGCGGAGCCGAGAGCGGGGCACGCUGGGAUCGCGAUGGCGGCGCCAGGAUCGAAGCGGGGCACGCCGGGAAUCGUAG
rnacentral:lncRNA from 1 species